UACAGGGGGUGCAAACGUUGCUCGGAAUCAUUGGGCGUAAAGCGCACGUAGGCGGUUCGUUAUGUCGGAUGUGAAAGCCCUUGGCUUAACCGAGGAAGUGCAUCCGAAACUGGCGAGCUAGAGUACGAAAGAGGAUCGCGGAAUUCCCGGUGUAGAGGUGAAAUUCGUAGAUAUCGGGAGGAACACCGAUGGCGAAGGCAGGUCACUGGGCCGCAACUGACGCUGAGGAGCGAAAGCAUGGGGGAGCGAACAGG
rnacentral:rRNA from 1 species